CUCGGUCUUCGGCUGCUGCUGCUGCAGACACCCAAGAUGAGGUACUGGUAGAGGAGGGUACCAAUGAGGGACCCAGGGGGCUGGAAAGGGGGGAGUAUUGCCUCUUGUUAACGUUUGUACCCUUAGGCAACUGGCGCUGAGGAGGAGCUUCUGCCAGGGGUGGAUGUACUCCUGGAGGUGUUCCCUACCUGUUCGGUGGAGCAGGCCCAGUGGGUGCUGGCCAAAGCUCGGGGGGACUUGGAAGAAGCUGUGCAGAUGCUGGUAGAGGGAAAGGAAGAGGGGCCUGCAGCCUGGGAGGGCCCCAACCAGGUAUCUUUUCCCAGCACCCUCUACCAUGUAGCCUCAGCUACAUUCCACCUUGGUGUUAAGCCCCAACCCCUACCUAUCCCCAUCUGUUUCCCCUGCUGGUGCCCUUGGGCCUAGACCAGGCCUCCCCUCUCUGCAGGACCUGCCCAGACGCCUCAGAGGCCCCCAAAAGGAUGAGCUGAAGUCCUUCAUCCUGCAGAAGUGAGUCUGGGCUGGGCUGGGCUGGGCCCUAGAGGGUCUUCCCAGGGUGACAGGAGCUUCACCCAGCCAGUUUUUGACAGGUACAUGAUGGUGGAUAGCGCAGAGGAUCAGAAGAUUCACCGGCCCAUGGAUCCCAAGGAGGCCCCCAAGAAGCUGAUCCGAUACAUCGACAACCAGGUAGUGAGCACCAAAGGGGAGCGAUUCAAAGAUGUGCGGAACCCUGAGGCCGAGGAGAUGAAGGCCACAUACAUCAACCUCAAGCCAGCCAGAAAGUACCGCUUCCAUUGAGGCACUCGCCGGACUCUGCCCGAGCCUUCUAGGCUCAGAUCCCAGAGGGAUGCAGGAGCCCUAUACCCCUACACAGGGGCCCCCUAACUCCUGUCCCCCUUCUGUACUCCUUUGCUCCAUAGUGUUAACCUACUCUCGGAGCUGCCUCCAUGGGCACAGUAAAGGUGGCCCAAGGAAGGUG
rnacentral:sRNA from 1 species